CUGUGUCUGCGAGGAGAGAGCUCGGCUGGGGCAGGGACGUGGCACCGGGGCAAGAGGAAUCUAUUAACCCUGGGGAAGCAGAGAGCAGCUGGAGGCUGCAGGCGGUCCCGUAACGAGGUAAACGAUAUAAGCUGGGGAUCAAACAGGAAUUACUCACGGACUUGUUCCUCAGCGCUUCCACUUCGGCUGUUAGAGCCUCUGCCUCACAGAUGUCAAAUGCAGGCAAUUUAAAGCUACCUAAAGCCAUAGCUGAAAUUAACCCCUGCUGUGUCCCAGUCUGCAUCUGCAGGCACCCUCCUGUAAGGAAGCGAGCCAGGGGCUCUGCUCGGUGCCCUGUGCGUGGGCUGCGGUUCAAGGAGAGCAGUAGGUGUUGGGCUGAUACAGGCCUGCGCACACUCUGUAGAGGAGAAUUUCUGAUCUAAUGAACCUCUGUUUUGCCCAUUUCUUUCCCCUUAUAGACUGAGGACCCUCUCAUGUAAGGAAACAGUGUCCAGCCUUUGUUCCCCUUUCCUUGCCUGAUGGGUGUGUUCAGAUGGAUGUGCACCAAGCAUGGCCUCAGUAGCGAGAGAUUAGCUCUUCUGCCAGGCCAGCAGAAGGAGCACAGGAUAUUCAGCUGCAGCCCAUCAGCACAGGAUUCAAUCUCCAGUUGCUAACAAUUGAGAAUAAACCAUGGUCCUAGCCACAGAAAUUCAAUACUGGAGCAACAACUCUUAUGGUAACUUCAGAGACCAGUCAAAGACACCUGAGGAAAGUCUGAUGUUAAGAGUCCAUCAAUCUUCUGAGCCAGUGUUUCUCGUCUGUCCUUCAGCCAC